UUAAAAUUGAAACUUAUAUUAUUAGUUUUAAUUAAAAACAAAACCAAACACCCCCAUUUGGAUGUCUGGUCGAUCAAGAACAGGAGAGGGCGACCUCCCUCAUCCUCAAAACCCUAAAAUUCACUAAACCCACAAAUUGAAGGCUCAAUCCAAGUUGAAAUCAAAAUCUGAACAUGGAAUCGUGAUCACCUCGUCAAAAGGAGUCAUAAGUUUGACGCUAAACGAGCUAGGUGGAAGCUUGAGGACGAAGCGGGUCAAACAAAUCAAUAAGGAAAAGUAAGGCAUAGUUUGGAUGCGAGGAUAAACCGGCCUAUGAAUUAGCGAUGCUAUGAAUUAGCGAUUAUUGAGACAAGGUAUUAAAACGGGUCAAUAUGUUGAUCCGAACCAGGAUAAACCGGCCUAUGAAUUAGCGAUGCUAUGAAUUAGCGAUUAUUGAGACAAGGUAUUAAAACGGGUCAAUAUGUUGAUCCGAACCAGGUUAAUGUUAUAUGCUUCCGCAUGAAGAUCAAGCCACGAGCAAGAACCGAACACACCUCUCAAUGAAGCUUCCGC
rnacentral:lncRNA from 1 species